UACGGAGGGUGCAAGCGUUAUCCGGAUUCACUGGGUUUAAAGGGUGCGUAGGUGGGUUUGUAAGUCAGUGGUGAAAUCUCCGAGCUUAACUCGGAAACUGCCAUUGAUACUAUAGAUCUUGAAUCAUCUGGAGGUAAGCGGAAUAUGUCAUGUAGCGGUGAAAUGCUUAGAUAUGACAUGGAACACCAAUUGCGAAGGCAGCUUACUACGGGUGUAUUGACACUGAGGCACGAAAGCGUGGGGAUCAAACAGG
rnacentral:rRNA from 1 species